GUGUAAAGGCACAAGGGAGCAUGACAGCGAGACUGACAAGUCGAGCAGGGACGAAAGACGGGCUAAGUGAUCCGGAGGUUCCGCAUGGAAGGGCCAUCGCACAACGGAUAAAAGCUACCCCGGGGAUAACAGGCUAAUCUCCCCCAAGAGUCCACAUCGACGGGGAGGAUUGGCACCUCGAAGUCGGCUCGUCGCAUCCAGGGGCUGUAGUCGGUCCCAAGGGAUGGGCUGAUCGCCCAUAAAAGCG
rnacentral:rRNA from 1 species